rnacentral:rRNA from 1 species
GGUCUCCUACGGGGGGCAGCAGUGGGGGAUAUUGCACAAUGGGGGGAACCCUGAUGCAGCGACGCCGCGUGGGUGAAGAAGCGCCUCGGCGCGUAAAGCCCUGUCAGCAGGGAAGAAAAUGACGGUACCUGAAGAAGAAGCCCCGGCUAAAUACGUGCCAGCAGCCGCGGUAAUACGUAUGGUGCAAGCGUUAUCCGGAUUUACUGGGUGUAAAGGGAGCGUAGGCGGCGCGUUAAGUCUGAUGUGAAAACCCGAGGCUCAACCACGGGAGUGCAUUGGAAACUGGCGGGCUGGAGUGCCGGGGG